UACGUAGGGGGCUAGCGUUGUUCGGAAUCAUUGGGCGUAAAGCGCGCGUAGGUGGCCCGGUAAGUCCGCUCUGAAAGUCAAAGGCUCAACCUUUGAAAGCGGGUGGAUACUGUCGGGCUAGAGUCCGGAAGAGGCGAGUGGAAUUCCUGGUGUAGCGGUGGAAUGCGCAGAUAUCAAGAGGAACACCAACGGCGAAGGCAGCUCGCUGGGACGGUACUGACACUAAGGCGCGAAAGCGUGGGGAGCGAACAGG
rnacentral:rRNA from 1 species